rnacentral:rRNA from 1 species
GAUGAACGCUAGCGGCAGGCCUAACACAUGCAAGUCGAGGGAUAAGCCUUCGGGCUAGGACCGUCGCACGGGUGCGUACCGCGUAUACAAUCUGCCUUUUAUCCGGGUGAUAGCCCGAAGAAAUUUGGAUUAAUACCCUAAAGUAUAAGAGCACGGCCUCGUGCACUUGUUAAAGCUACGGCGUUAAAAGAUGAGUAUGCGUUCUAUUAGCUAGUUGGAGAGUUAACGGCUCCCCAAGGCGACGAUAGAUAGGGGUUCUGAGAGGGAUGUCCCUGAGACGGGUACUGAGAAACGGAGCAGACAGAUACGGGAGGCAGUAGUGAGGAAUAUUGGAGAAUGGUAGGAAGACUGAUCCAGCCAUGCCGCGUGCAGGAUGACGGCGUUAUGGGUUGUAAACUGCUUUUGUAAGGGAAGAAUAAGGAGUACGGGUACUUUGAUGACGGUACCUGACGAAUAAGCAUCGGCUAACUCCGUG